rnacentral:rRNA from 1 species
ACACGACUACAUUAGAUACCCCUGUAGUCCUAGCCGUAAACGAUACUCGCUAGGUGUCGGCCACGGUGCGACCGUUGUCGGUGCCGUAGGGAAGCCGUGAAGCGAGCCACCUGGGAAGUACGGCCGCAAGGCUGAAACUUAAAGGAAUUGGCGGGGGAGCACAACAACGGGUGGAGCUUGCGGUUUAAUUGGAUUCAACGCCGGAAAUCUUAUCGGGACCGACAGCAACAUGAAGGUCAAGCUGAAGACUUUGCCGGAUUAGCUG